UACGGAGGGCGCAAGCAUUGAUCGGAAUUACUGGGCGUAAAGGGCGCGUAGGCGGUUAUAAAAGUCGGAUGUGAAAUACCGGGGCUCAACCCCGGUGCUGCAUUUGAAACUCUAUAGCUAGAGUUCAGUUAGGGUAAACGGAAUUCCACGUGUAGCGGUGAAAUGCGUAGAUAUGUGGAAGAACACCGGUGGUGAAGACGGUUUACUGGGCUGAUACUGACGCUGAGGCGCGAAAGCAUGGGGAGCAAACAGG
rnacentral:rRNA from 1 species